CUUACGGGUGCCUAACAAACCGUUACACUUGCUCGUAGAUGUACACUCUAGAAGACUUCAACUUGCUCGAGGAUACCUCACCUCAAGACUUCAAGUCAAGGAACUAAACUUUCCUUUUUACAACAAGGGAUUAGAACUUCCCUUCAAGUGUAUGCAAACACUUACCACUCAAGACAAGACUCUCUUAUAGAGUAGAUGUGAGUAAAAUUAAUACGCUCAAGAACACAACAACUUCGUCAAGAAUUUGGCUCUCAAAAAC
rnacentral:lncRNA from 1 species